rnacentral:rRNA from 1 species
AGUGAACGCUGGCGGUAGGCCUAACACAUGCAAGUCGAACGGCAGCACAGUAAGAGCUUGCUCUUACGGGUGGAGAGUGGCGGACGGGUGAGGAAUACAUCGGAAUCUACUUUUUCGCGGGGGAUAACGUAGGGAAACUAACGCUAAUACCGCAUACGAACUACGGGUGAAAGCAGGGGAUCUUCGGACCUUGCGCGAUUGAAUGAGCCGAUGUCGGAUUAGCUAGUUGGCGGGGUAGAGGCCCACCAAGGCGACGAUCCGUAGCCGGUCGGCGAGGGUGAGCAGGCACGGUGGAAGUGGGACACGGUCCAGACCCCUACGGGAGGCAGCAGUGGGGAAUAUGGGACAAGGGGCGCGAGCCUGAUCCAGCCAUACCGCGUGGGUGAAGAAGACCUUCGGGUUGUAAAGCCCUUUUGUUGGGAAAGAAAAGCAGCAGGUUAAUACCCCGCUGUUCUGACGGUACCCAAAGAAUAAGCACCGGCUAACUUCGUG